rnacentral:rRNA from 1 species
AUUGAACGCUGGCGGCAGGCUUAACACAUGCAAGUCGAGCGGAGCGAGGGUGCUUGCACCUUAGCUUAGCGGCGGACGGGUGAGUAAUGCUUAGGAAUCUGCCUAUUAGUGGGGGACAACAUUCCGAAAGGAAUGCUAAUACCGCAUACGUCCUACGGGGGAAAGCAGGGGAUCUUCGGACCUUGCGCUAAUAGAUGAGCCUAAGUCGGAUUAGCUAGUUGGUGGGGUAAAGGCCUACCAAGGCGACGAUCUGUAGCGGGUCUGAGAGGAUGAUCCGCCACACUGGGACUGAGACACGGCCCAAACUCCUACGGGAGGCAGCAGGGGGGAAUAUUGGACAAUGGGCGGAAGCCUGAUCCAGCCAUGCCGCGUGUGUGAAGAAGGCCUUUUGGUUGUAAAGCACUUUAAGCGAGGAGGAGGCUACUAGUAUUAAUACUACUGGAUAGUGGACGUUACUCGCAGAAUAAGCACCGGCUAACUCUGUGCCAGCCGCCGCCGUAACAC